UACGUAGGGUGCGAGCGUUAAUCGGAAUUACUGGGCGUAAAGCGUGCGCAGGCGGUGAGCUGUGUCCGAUGUGAAAGCCCCGGGCUUAACCUGGGAAUGGCAUUGGAAACUGGCUCGCUGGAGUGUGGCAGAGGGGGGUGGAAUUCCGCGUGUAGCAGUGAAAUGCGUAGAGAUGCGGAGGAACACCGAUGGCGAAGGCAGCCCCCCGGGCUAACACUGACGCUCAGGCACGAAAGCGUGGGGAGCAAACAGG
rnacentral:rRNA from 1 species